GCCUGCUGUCUUAUUUGAAAAUAGAUAGAUGUACAAUAAUUGAAGUUAUUUGUGUUGAUGCCUAUGGGAAAAUAUUUAUGUUUUCCAAAGCAGUAUGUAAUAAAAAAUGUUAUUUUUGUUUUGAGGCUGUCGACUUUCCGGUAACAAGCAAGUCGAACAUAAAUUUGUUUGAUUAUUUCUUUUCAUAUAUAUUGUAUACAUUGA
rnacentral:lncRNA from 1 species